CCAAGGGCAGGAGGCACAGGGACAAUGUCCCGUUUGCCUGGGGCAGGGGCUCCAGGGGUUAAUGGUGCAGCAUGAAAAUGGUCCAGGCAUCAGUUACCCACCAGAGGGGCCCAAAGGUAGCGGAGAGCUCAGCCCCGCCGGAUGCUCAGCCCGAGAGCCAGCCAGGCUGCAAUCCUGACAUUCUGCUUCCUCAGCCUGGACGGUCCGGAGAGGCAACACCAGGUCAACGCCGACAGGUGCGACCAGGAAGAGGUUUCAACUCCACUCGGAAACCCUCUGGCAUCGGGAUGCUUUGUGGAUUUUAUGUUGUCAGCUCUGCCCGGCAGCAAAAGGAUGUGUGUUGCCAGGUGGCUGGGAGGCAGGGGAGCAUCUGGAACCUGUCCCCUGUGGGNGAUGCUUUGUGGAUUUUAUGUUGUCAGCUCUGCCCGGCAGCAAAAGGAUGUGUGUUGCCAGGUGGCUGGGAGGCAGGGGAUGGAUGGGCCCAGGCUGAGCAUCUGGAACCUGUCCCCUGUGGACAGAGUCUUCGAGGUAACGGAAAUGGUGGGACCAGGAGGAACCGGCCCCACGUGGAUGAAAGACAAAGAGACCACGUGUCUCUUGUCGCUGAGGUCAAG
rnacentral:lncRNA from 1 species